UGCAAACUGCGAAUACCGGAGAAUGUUAUCACGGGAGACACACGGCGGGUGCUAACGUCCGUCGUGAAGAGGGAAACAACCCAGACCGCCAGCUAAGGUCCCAAAGUCAUGGUUAAGUGGGAAACGAUGUGGGAAGGCCCAGACAGCCAGGAUGUUGGCUUAGAAGCAGCCAUCAUUUAAAGAAAGCGUAAUAGCUCACUGGUCGAGUCGGCCUGCGCGGAAGAUGUAACGGGGCUAAACCAUGCACCGAAGCUGCGGCAGCGACACUAUGUGUUGUUGGGUAGGGGAGCGUUCUGUAAGCCUGUGAAGGUGGCCUGUGAGGGUUGCUGGAGGUAUCAGAAGUGCGAAUGCUGACAUAAGUAACGAUAAAGCGGGUGAAAAGCCCGCUCGCCGGAAGACCAAGGGUUCCUGUCCAACGUUAAUCGGGGCAGGGUGAGUCGACCCCUAAGGCGAGGCCGAAAGGCGUAGUCGAUGGGAAACAGGUUAAUAUUCCUGUACUUGGUGUUACUGCGAAGGGGGGACGGAGAAGGCUAUGUUGGCCGGGCGACGGUUGUCCCGGUUUAAGCGUGUAGGCUGGUUUUCCAGGCAAAUCCGGAAAACCAAGGCUGAGGCGUGAUGACGAGGCACUACGGUGCUGAAGUGACAAAUGCCCUGCUUCCAGGAAAAGCCUCUAAGCAUCAGGUAACAUCAAAUCGUACCCCAAACCGACACAGGUGGUCAGGUAGAGAAUACCAAGGCGCUUGAGAGAACUCGGGUGAAGGAACUAGGCAAAAUGGUGCCGUAACUUCGGGAGAAGGCACGCUGAUAUGUAGGUGAAGCGACUUGCUCGUGGAGCUGAAAUCAGUCGAAGAUACCAGCUGGCUGCAACUGUUUAUUAAAAACACAGCACUGUGCAAACACGAAAGUGGACGUAUACGGUGUGACGCCUGCCCGGUGCCGGAAGGUUAAUUGAUGGGGUUAGCGGUAACGCGAAGCUCUUGAUCGAAGCCCCGGUAAACGGCGGCCGUAACUAUAACGGUCCUAAGGUAGCGAAAUUCCUUGUCGGGUAAGUUCCGACCUGCACGAAUGGCGUAAUGAUGGCCAGGCUGUCUCCACCCGAGACUCAGUGAAAUUGAACUCGCUGUGAAGAUGCAGUGUACCCGCGGCAAGACGGAAAGACCCCGUGAACCUUUACUAUAGCUUGACACUGAACAUUGAGCCUUGAUGUGUAGGAUAGGUGGGAGGCUUUGAAGUGUGGACGCCAGUCUGCAUGGAGCCGACCUUGAAAUACCACCCUUUAAUGUUUGAUGUUCUAACGUUGGCCCCUAAUCGGGGUUGCGGACAGUGUCUGGUGGGUAGUUUGACUGGGGCGGUCUCCUCCUAAAGAGUAACGGAGGAGCACGAAGGUUGGCUAAUCCUGGUCGGACAUCAGGAGGUUAGUGCAAUGGCAUAAGCCAGCUUGACUGCGAGCGUGACGGCGCGAGCAGGUGCGAAAGCAGGUCAUAGUGAUCCGGUGGUUCUGAAUGGAAGGGCCAUCGCUCAACGGAUAAAAGGUACUCCGGGGAUAACAGGCUGAUACCGCCCAAGAGUUCAUAUCGACGGCGGUGUUUGGCACCUCGAUGUCGGCUCAUCACAUCCUGGGGCUGAAGUAGGUCCCAAGGGUAUGGCUGUUCGCCAUUUAAAGUGGUACGCGAGCUGGGUUUAGAACGUCGUGAGACAGUUCGGUCCCUAUCUGCCGUGGGCGCUGGAGAACUGAGGGGGGCUGCUCCUAGU
rnacentral:rRNA from 1 species